UAUAGUACUAGUCAAACAGUUCGUUUGUUACAGAUUUCCUAUUUUCGCAUAUCGAUCUCCGGUAGCCAAUCUGUGUUCUCCUUCACGUGGUAUAGGUGCUUUCCAGCUCAGUUCUCAACAACCAUCCAUAUUUACAUCAUACGUGACCUAUUUGCUGUUUAGUCGUUUUGUGGCAACGUCUUGUAUAACGUUCGAACUCCGAUGUACUUAUUUGAACCCAUUAUUUGUUCAUAUUCUCCGUUUAUCUGUAUUUAUGUUAUUGACUCGGUACUUACAACCGUUUAACUGUUAAUAUAGGUUAAUAUUGAAUUUAUCUAAAGUAUAACUAAUUUAUAUCUAAAUGUAUGUAUUUAUGUUAUAUUGAAUUCGGGCAGUCUAGCUGUGUUUUCCUGCGCGUGGUACGUUUUUGAAUAGCUUUGUGACAACGUCUUCCAUAUUAUUCGAACUCCGAAGUAUUUAUUUGAACCCAUUAUUUGUUCAUAUUUUCCGUUUAUCUGUAUUUAUGUUAUUGACUCGGUACUUGCAACCGUUUAAUAAUACCAUAACAGUUUUUAUAGAUUUAUAUUGAAUUUAUCUAAAGUAUAACUAAUUUAUAUCUAAAUGNACGUUUUUGAAUAGCUUUGUGGCAACGUCUUCCAUAUUAUUCGAACUCCGAAGUAUUUAUUUGAACUCAAUUUUUCAGAUUCUCCGCUUUUCUGUAUUUAUGUUAUUGAGGCGGUACUAACAACCGUAUAACUGUUAAUAUAGGUUAAUAUUGAAUUUAUCUGAAGUUAGGUA